AGGGACCUUGAAAAAUUAUAAAAGAACUUAAUGGCAAAGAAAAUGGAACAGACAAGUAUAUUAAAAAAAAUAAUAGAAAAAGAUCAAGUACUUAGUCACCAAUAAUUAUAAUAACAUCUAUAGUAAAAGACUAAAUGGAUAGAGUGGGUCAUCUACUUGGACUACACCAAAAGCUUAUCAACGAGGAACUUGCAACAGUCAUAGAGAAAGUAAAUUAACACUGUGUUUUAUAAUACCUGUAAUAAUAAUAACAAAAAUAACCAACAUGUCAUCCAUUUGAUUUCGUUUGUAUGUUUCUGUCUGCAUUUCAGUUUUACAUUUCUGGUUGCAUCUGUCUUUUGAUUUAGUUCAUCCGCAUUCACAAACCUUUCACAACCCCCCC
rnacentral:lncRNA from 1 species